GUCAAAGCGUUCAUUAAAGUCGAGUUGGCUUAGGGAUACGUUCGUUGGGUAGGGGAGCGUUCUGUAAGCCUGUGAAGGUGUGUCGUGAGGCAUGCUGGAGGUAUCAGAAGUGCGAAUGCUGACAUAAGUAACGAUAAAGCGGGUGAAAAGCCCGCUCGCCGGAAGACCAAGGGUUCCUGUCCAACGUUAAUCGGGGCAGGGUGAGUCGACCCCUAAGGCGAGGCCGAAAGGCGUAGUCGAUGGGAAACGGGUUAAUAUUCCCGUACUUGGUGUUACUGCGAAGGGGGGACGGAGAAGGCUAUGUUGGCCGGGCGACGGUUGUCCCGGUUUAAGCGUGUAGGUGUGUGUUCCAGGUAAAUCCGGUUCACUUUAACACUGAG
rnacentral:rRNA from 1 species